GACGAACGCUGGCGGCGUGCUUAACACAUGCAAGUCGAACGAUGAAGCCGGAGCUUGCUCUGGUGAAUUAGUGGCGAACGGGUGAGUAACACGUGAGUAACCUGCCCUUGACUCUGGGAUAACUGCGGGAAACUGUAGCUAAUACCGGAUACGACCCUCGGAGGCAUCUCCUGGGGGUGGAAAGACUCUCGGUCAAGGAUGGACUCGCGGCCUAUCAGCUAGUUGGUGAGGUAAAGGCUCACCAAGGCGACGACGGGUAGCCGGCCAGAGAGGGGAGCCGGCGUCACUGGGACUGAGACACGGCCCAGAGUGCUACGGGAGGCAGCGGUGGGGAAUAUUGCACGAUGGGCGCAAGCCUGAUGCAGCAGCGCCGCGUGAGGGAUGACGGCCUUCGGGUUGUAAACCUCUUUUGGCAGGGAAGAAGCGAAAGUGACGGUACCUGCAGAAAAAGCACCGGCUAACUACGUGCCAGCCGCCGCGGUAA
rnacentral:rRNA from 1 species